AUCACCUAGACAUCUUGUUAAAAUGCAGAUUCUCAUUCAGCAGGUCCAGGGUGGGGCCUGAGAGUCUGCCUUUCUAACAAGCUCCAGGUGAUGCUGC
rnacentral:pre_miRNA from 1 species